UGGAGUGGCCGAUGUCGGAUUAGCUAGUUGGUGGGGUAAAAGCUUACCAAGGCGACGAUCCGUAGCUGGUCUGAGAGGACGAUCAGCCACACUGGAACUGAGACACGGUCCAGACUCCUACGGGAGGCAGCAGUGGGGAAUUUUGGACAAUGGGCGCAAGCCUGAUCCAGCCAUGCCGCGUGAGUGAAGAAGGCCUUCGGGUUGUAAAGCUCUUUCGGUGAAGACGAAACGGUUCAUGCUAAUAACGUGAACUAAUGACGGUACUCACAGAAGAAGCACCGGCUAACUACGUGCCAGCAGCCGCGGUAAUACGUAGGGUGCAGGCGUUAAUCGGAAUUACUGGGCGUAAAGCGUGCGCAGGCGGUUUGCUAAGACAGGUGUGAAAUCCCCGGGCUUAACCUGGGAAUUGCGCUUGUAACUGGCAAGCUAGAGUGUGGCAGAGGGGGGUGGAAUUCCACGUGUAGCAGUGAAAUGCGUAGAUAUGUGGAGGAACACCGAUGGCGAAGGCAGCCCCCUGGGUUAACACUGACGCUCAUGCACGAAAGCGUGGGGAGCAAACAGGAUUAGAUACCCUGGUAGUCCACGCCCUAAACUAUGUCAACUAGUUGUCGGGGAAGAAAUUCCUUGGUAACGAAGCUAACGCGUGAAGUUGACCGCCUGGGGAGUACGGCCGCAAGGUUAAAACUCAAAGGAAUUGACGGGACCCGCACAAGCGGUGGAUUAUGUGGAUUAAUUCGAUGCAACGCGAAAAACCUUACCUACCCUUGACAUGCUAGGAAGCCCGCAGAGAUGUGGGUGUGCCCGAAAGGGAACCUAGACACAGGUGCUGCAUGGCUGUCGUCAGCUCGUGUCGUGAGAUGUUGGGUUAAGUCCCGCAACGAGCGCAACCCUUGCCAUUAGUUGCUACAUUCAGUUGGGCACUCUAAUGGGACCGCCGGUGACAAACCGGAGGAAGGUGGGGAUGACGUCAAGUCCUCAUGGCCCUUAUGGGUAGGGCUUCACACGUAAUACAAUGGUCGGUACAGAGGGCUGCCAACCCGCAAGGGGGAGCUAAUCCCAGAAAGCCGAUCGUAGUCCGGAUUGUAGUCUGCAACUCGACUGCAUGAAGCCGGAAUCGCUAGUAAUCGCGGAUCAGCAUGUCGCGGUGAAUACGUUCCCGGGUCUUGUACACACCGCCCGUCACACCAUGGGAGUGGGUUCCACCAGAAGUAGUUAGCCUAACCGCAAGGAGGGCGAUUACCACGGUGAGAUUCAUGACUGGGGUGAAGUCGUAACAAGGUA
rnacentral:rRNA from 1 species